rnacentral:rRNA from 1 species
AUAGGUUAAUGAGGCGAACCGGGGGAACUGAAACAUCUAAGUACCCCGAGGAAAAGAAAUCAACCGAGAUUCCCCCAGUAGCGGCGAGCGAACGGGGAGCAGCCCAGAGCCUGAAUCAGUGUGUGUGUUAGUGGAAGCGUCUGGAAAGGCGCGCGAUACAGGGUGACAGCCCCGUACACAAAAAUGCACAUGCUGUGAGCUCGAUGAGUAGGGCGGGACACGUGGUAUCCUGUCUGAAUAUGGGGGGACCAUCCUCCAAGGCUAAAUACUCCUGACUGACCGAUAGUGAACCAGUACCGUGAGGGAAAGGCGAAAAGAACCCCGGCGAGGGGAGUGAAAAAGAACCUGAAACCGUGUACGUACAAGCAGUGGGAGCACGCUUAGGCGUGUGACUGCGUACCUUUUGUAUAAUGGGUCAGCGACUUAUAUUCUGUAGCAAGGUUAACCGAAUAGGGGAGCCGAAGGGAAACCGAGUCUUAACUGGGCGUUAAGUUGCAGGGUAUAGACCCGAAACCCGGUGAUCUAGCCAUGGGCAGGUUGAAGGUUGGGUAACACUAACUGGAGGACCGAACCGACUAAUGUUGAAAAAUUAGCGGAUGACUUGUGGCUGGGGGUGAAAGGCCAAUCAAACCGGGAGAUAGCUGGUUCUCCCCGAAAGCUAUUUAGGUAGCGCCUCGUGAAUUCAUCUCCGGGGGUAGAGCACUGUUUCGGCAAGGGGGUCAUCCCGACUUACCAACCCGAUGCAAACUGCGAAUACCGGAGAAUGUUAUCACGGGAGACACACGGCGGGUGCUAACGUCCGUCGUGAAGAGGGAAACAACCCAGACCGCCAGCUAAGGUCCCAAAGUCAUGGUUAAGUGGGAAACGAUGUGGGAAGGCCCAGACAGCCAGGAUGUUGGCUUAGAAGCAGCCAUCAUUUAAAGAAAGCGUAAUAGCUCACUGGUCGAGUCGGCCUGCGCGGAAGAUGUAACGGGGCUAAACCAUGCACCGAAGCUGCGGCAGCGACACUAUGUGUUGUUGGGUAGGGGAGCGUUCUGUAAGCCUGUGAAGGUGUACUGUGAGGUAUGCUGGAGGUAUCAGAAGUGCGAAUGCUGACAUAAGUAACGAUAAAGCGGGUGAAAAGCCCGCUCGCCGGAAGACCAAGGGUUCCUGUCCAACGUUAAUCGGGGCAGGGUGAGUCGACCCCUAAGGCGAGGCCGAAAGGCGUAGUCGAUGGGAAACAGGUUAAUAUUCCUGUACUUGGUGUUACUGCGAAGGGGGGACGGAGAAGGCUAUGUUGGCCGGGCGACGGUUGUCCCGGUU